UACGAAGGGGGCUAGCGUUGCUCGGAAUGACUGGGCGUAAAGGGCGCGUAGGCGGAUUGCUAAGUCAGGGGUGAAAUCCUGGAGCUCAACUCCAGAACUGCCUUUGAUACUGGCGAUCUUGAGUCCGGGAGAGGUGAGUGGAACUGCGAGUGUAGAGGUGAAAUUCGUAGAUAUUCGCAAGAACACCAGUGGCGAAGGCGGCUCACUGGCCCGGUACUGACGCUGAGGUGCGAAAGCGUGGGGAGCAAACAGG
rnacentral:rRNA from 1 species